rnacentral:lncRNA from 1 species
CUCGCUGUAAGAGUUCGGAGUAGACUGCUCAUAGUAGGAGUCCGGAGUAAACUGCUUGUAGUAGAAGUUCGGAGUAGACUGCUCGUAGUAGGAGUUCGGAGUAAACUGCUUGUAGUAGAAGUUCAGAGUAGACCGCCCGUAGUAGAAGUUUGGCUCUCACAGGAGCCCGGUUGGAAUCCUGAAGGCAGUCGACCAUCGUAAAAAUUUGGAUGGAGUCUGCUUACUGUAAAAAUCUCAUUGUCGAAGAAGCUCGGAUAUUGGCGA